AGGGGGAAAGAACCAACAGGGAUUGCCCCAGUAACGGCGAGUGAAGCGGCAACAGCUCAAAUUUGAAAUCUGGCCCCCGGGUCCGAGUUGUAAUUUGUAGAGGAUGCUUUUGGCGAGGUGCCUUCCGAGUUCCCUGGAACGGGACGCCAUAGAGGGUGAGAGCCCCGUCUGGUCGGACACCGAGCCUCUGUAAAGCUCCUUCGACGAGUCGAGUAGUUUGGGAAUGCUGCUCAAAAUGGGAGGUAUAUGUCUUCUAAAGCUAAAUAUUGGCCAGAGACCGAUAGCGCACAAGUAGAGUGAUCGAAAGAUGAAAAGCACUUUGAAAAGAGGGUUAAAAAGUACGUGAAAUUGUUGAAAGGGAAGCGCCUAUGACCAGACUUGGGCCCGGUGAAUCACCCAGCGUUCUCGCUGGUGCACUUCGCCGGGCACAGGCCAGCAUCAGUUUGGCGCGGGGGAGAAAGGCUUCGGGAAUGUGGCUCCCCCGGGAGUGUUAUAGCCCGUUGCGCAAUACCCUGCGCUGGACUGAGGUACGCGCAUUCGCAAGGAUGCUGGCGUAAUGGUCAUCAGCGACCCGUCUUGAAACACGGACCAAGGAGUCGUCUUCGUAUGCGAGUGUUCGGGUGUCAAACCCCUACGCGUAAUGAAAGUGAACGCAGGUGAGAGCUUCGGCGCAUCAUCGACCGAUCCUGAUGUUCUCGGAUGGAUUUGAGUAAGAGCAUACGGGGCCGGACCCGAAAGAAGGUGAACUAUGCCUGUAUAGGGUGAAGCCAGAGGAAACUCUGGUGGAGGCUCGCAGCGGUUCUGACGUGCGAAUCGAUCGUCAAAUAUGGGCAUGGGGGGCGAAAGACUAAUCGAACCUUCUAGUAGCUGGUUUCCGCCGAAGUUCCCCCUCAGGAAA
rnacentral:rRNA from 1 species